rnacentral:rRNA from 1 species
GACGAACGCUGGCGGCGUGCUUAACACAUGCAAGUCGAACGGAAAGGCCCUGCUUUUGUGGGGUGCUCGAGUGGCGAACGGGUGAGUAACACGUGAGUAACCUGCCCUUGACUUUGGGAUAACUUCAGGAAACUGGGGCUAAUACCGGAUAGGAGCUCCUGCUGCAUGGUGGGGGUUGGAAAGUUUCGGCGGUUGGGGAUGGACUCGCGGCUUAUCAGCUUGUUGGUGGGGUAGUGGCUUACCAAGGCUUUGACGGGUAGCCGGCCUGAGAGGGUGACCGGCCACAUUGGGACUGAGAUACGGCCCAGACUCCUACGGGAGGCAGCAGUGGGGAAUAUUGCACAAUGGGCGGAAGCCUGAUGCAGCAACGCCGCGUGCGGGAUGACGGCCUUCGGGUUGUAAACCGCUUUCGCCUGUGACGAAGCGUGAGUGACGGUAAUGGGUAAAGAAGCACCGGCUAACUACGUGCCAGCAGCCGCGGUGAUACGUAGGGUGCGAGCGUUGUCCGGACUUAUUGGGCGUAAAGGGCUCGUAGGUGGUUGAUCGCGUCGGAAGUGUAAUCUUGGGGCUUAACCCUGAGCGUGCUUUCGAUACGGGUUGACUUGAGGAAGGUAGGGGAGAAUGGAAUUCCUGGUGGAGCGGUGGAAUGCGCAGAUAUCAGGAGGAACACCAGUGGCGAAGGCGGUUCUCUGGGCCUUUCCUGACGCUGAGGAGCGAAAGCGUGGGGAGCGAACAGGCUUAGAUACCCUGGUAGUCCACGCUGUAAACGGUGGGUACUAGGUGUGGGGUCCAUUCCACGGGUUCCGUGCCGUAGCUAACGCUUUAAGUACCCCGCCUGGGGAGUACGGCCGCAAGGCUAAAACUCAAAGGAAUUGACGGGGCCCCGCACAAGCGGCGGAGCAUGCGGAUUAAUUCGAUGCAACGCGUAGAACCUUACCUGGGUUUGACAUGGAUCGGGAGUGCUCAGAGAUGGGUGUGCCUCUUUUGGGGUCGGUUCACAGGUGGUGCAUGGCUGUCGUCAGCUCGUGUCGUGAGAUGUUGGGUUAAGUCCCGCAACGAGCGCAACCCUUGUUCACUGUUGCCAGCACGUUAUGGUGGGGACUCAGUGGAGACCACCGGGGUCAACUCGGAGGAAGGUGGGGAUGACGUCAAGUCAUCAUGCCCCUUAUGUCCAGGGCUUCACGCAUGCUACAAUGGCUGGUACAGAGAGUGGCGAGCCUGUGAGGGUGAGCGAAUCUCGGAAAGCCGGUCUCAGUUCGGAUUGGGGUCUGCAACUCGACCUCAUGAAGUCGGAGUCGCUAGUAAUCGCAGAUCAGCAACGCUGCGGUGAAUACGUUCCCGGGGCU